rnacentral:lncRNA from 1 species
AGUGUCGCCGGGUCCCUGCCCCGGGAGGAGCCGAGUGGCGCCUGCACCUCUACCGUUCGCUCUGCAUACGCGUGGCUUAUCCUGGAGCACUGGCGCCUUCGCGGGGAGCGCAGCGGCAGCGCCCGGGACACGAGCUCCCUCCAGCACUCACCCUGGGGACGCGUCCGCUGGAAAAGCACCCACAACAGAGGCAGCAGCGCCAGCUUGGGCAGCGGCCACAGCCAGAAAGGGGCGCCCCUGCCUCCCCGCAUGGCGUCCCUCGGGAGCCCCGAGUCCGGCCCAGCCUUGCCGGGUCCGCGCGGCCGCGCUGCUCCUCUUCGAGCUCUGGGUACAGCGCCCGAGGCGGCAACGGGAAGCCGAACCACCCCGGCAGGCCGCCUCCGCACCUUUCGCUCAGGGUCCCCGCCCCUUCCCCGCGACGGAAAGUCCCCGGCUGGGGCUGCUUGAGGGGGAGUGGGGAGGCGGCCUGGGCGUCUGGGGGUGGGGGCCUCCGAGGGGUGGUACCGCGUACCGCGCAUCCCCGAAACCUGUCCUACGCCCAACAACCAUACACACACACACACACUCUCUGCCAAAGUCUUCGAAUUUUUAUUAUUGGAGUUUGGGAAGAUUCGAAUGUGCCCAGAGCUCUCCUAGGGGGGCCACCUGCCACCUUCUCUGGGGUCCACAGCCUUGGAACUCUGGCAGGGGAGUUGGAGGGAGAGGGGAUGGAAAGCAGGGCAAAGGAAGCGUGCGUGCAAAGGCUGGACUGAGACAGAGGCUUGAUUUUAGCUGGUCAGGGGACAAUGGCCACAGUUUGGACUGGGAAGGGGGCAGGGGUCUCUGUGUGGCCAGCCUAGGUAGAGUAGGGACCCAGUUGUGGCAGUGGAGUGUGUAGAUGAAUGAAUGAAUGUGUGAGGCUCGAAAGACAGGUGCCCAGCCAGACACUAGUUGAGUGGAUGGCAGGACUGGGGCAUUGGUCCUGGUGCCCACGGCUGCCCAGCCCUCAAACUAGCAAAGGCUACUGAUUUCACUUUUGCUACACCCCCACUUGCAGCAGCUGCUGGAAAGGCCAGCCAGGACAUCUCGGCUGCCCCGAAGAACC